GACGAACGCUGGCGGCGUGCCUAAUACAUGCAAGUAGAACGCUGAAGAGAGGAGCUUGCUCUUCUUGGAUGAGUUGCGAACGGGUGAGUAACGCGUAGGUAACCUGCCUUGUAGCGGGGGAUAACUACUGGAAACGAUAGCUAAUACCGCAUAACAAUGGAUGACACAUGUCAUUUAUUUGAAAGGGGCAAUUGCUCCACUACAAGAUGGACCUGCGUUGUAUUAGCUAGUAGGUGAGGUAAUGGCUCACCUAGGCGACGAUACAUAGCCGACCUGAGAGGGUGAUCGGCCACACUGGGACUGAGACACGGCCCAGACUCCUACGGGAGGCAGCAGUAGGGAAUCUUCGGCAAUGGGGGCAACCCUGACCGAGCAACGCCGCGUGAGUGAAGAAGGGUUUCGGAUCGUAAAGCUCUGUUGUAAGUCAAGAACGGGUGUGAGAGUGGAAAGUUCACACUGUGACGGUAGCUUACCAGAAAGGGACGGCUAACUACGUG
rnacentral:rRNA from 1 species